rnacentral:rRNA from 1 species
CCUACGGGGGGCAGCAGUGAGGAAUCUUGGUCAAUGGUCGGGAGACUGAACCAGCCAAGCCGCGUGAGGGAGGAAGGUACAGAGUAUCGUAAACCUCUUUUGUCAGGGAACAAAGGCGGGGGCGUGUCCCCGGAUGCGUGUACCUGAAGAAAAAGAAUCGGCUAACUCCGUUCCAGCAGCCGCGGUAAUCCGGGGGAUGCGAGCGUUAUCCGGAUUUAUUGGGUUUAAAGGGUGCGCAGGCGGUCUGUUAAGUCAGCGGGCAAAGCCCGGGGUUCAACUCCGGCCCGCCGUUGAAACUGGCAGUCUCGAGUUGGAGAGAAGUAUGCGGAAUGCGCGGUGUAGCGGUGAAAUGCAUAGAUAUCGCGCAGAACUCCGAUUGCGAAGGCAGCAUGCCGGCUCCACACUGACGCUGAGGCACGAAAGCGUGGGUAUCGAACAGGAUUAGAUACCCUUGUAGUC